UUAAGUUAAGUAAACAUUUAAUUUGUGACUACCUGUAAUAGUAAUAAAGACUUUUAUUCUGGGACGGAGGGAAUAUAAGUCAGUUUAGAGUUGUACACAAGUAUCAAGGAAAUGAUUGUAUAACAUUAAAUAUAAUAUCAGUUGUCUAUAUUGUCUUUGUAUUGAAAAAAGUGUUAUUUAUUGGGCAAAAAAUAGGGAGAAAACUAAAGUUAUAUUUAUUAUUU
rnacentral:lncRNA from 1 species